GAUGAACGCUGACAGCAUGCUUAACACAUGCAAGUCAACUUGAAUUUGGGUUCUUAACUUAGGUUUGGGUGGCGGACGGGUGAGUAACGCGUAAAGAACUUGCCUCCCAGCUAGGGACAACAUUUGGAAACGAAUGCUCAUACCUAAUAUUAUGAUAAUAGGGCAUCCUAUAAUUAUGAAAGCUAUAAGCGCUGUGAGAGAGCUUUGCGUCCCAUUAGCUAGUUGGAGAGGUAACGGCUAACCAAGGCGAUGAUGGGUAGCCGGCCUGAGAGGGUGAUCGGCCAAAAGGGGACUGAGACACGGCCCGUACUCCUACGGGAGGCAGCAGUGGGGAAUAUGGGAAAAGGGACCGAGAGUCUGAUCCAGAAAUCCUGUGUGCACGAUGAAGUUUUGCGGAAUGAAAAGUGCUUUCAGUUGAGAAGAAGCAAAUGACGGUACCAACAGAAGAAGUGACGGCUAAAUACGUG
rnacentral:rRNA from 1 species